GGGGGCCCUGCGAGAGGCCGGCUGGCUGCCCCCGGAGAGGACCACAGGGCUGGUAGGCGCCUUCCGCUGGCCGGGGCAGGAGGCUGGCUGGGAAGAGGAGCUGCCAGGAGGGCGAGAGGCAGCUUUCCCCGCAGAGAUUUCCUCUCAGCUCACACCAUGCUGGUGCCUGCCUCACAGCCAAGAGCACUGCUCAAAGACAGUGGAGCCCAGCAGAAGCUGAAUCUGGUCCCAAUGGCUUCCCUACCCACUUUGUGCACCCUUGAAGACAGCUCCUCCCAAGCCUGUGCCAACCCUUGUCCUCAGGACCUGGAGACUUGAGGGGCUUCCCUGAAUGCUCUGCUCUGCAAUUGCACCAACUGAAGCAAAAAUGAGACUCCAACCCAGGCUUCCUGAUUCCCUUUCAGCAGCACAGCAGAGAAGAACCUGUUAAAAUGCCUUUGCUGGAACUGGUCCCUCCAGCUCCCCUCUAAAAGGCUCAGAUGGCGUGUGCCCCCAGUGAGGGGAAUGGGGGGCAUAAGAUGCUGAGAGGGGGCUGUCCCAAGCACCUUGGGCCAAAAUAGGGUCAGAUAAGGCCCCUUCACAAGCCUGGCCCCACCUCUGGGCAUAGCCAUCCACGGCCUUUGACUCACUAGUCAGCAAGAACCUCGGGUCCCUGAGGGGAGGAAGGAGUUCCGGGCUUGGCCUGGGCCUCCGCCCUUCCCAAAGGAAGGAAAAUGAUAGACCCCCAGCUUCCGGCUUCCUCUGGCAGCGGGCCCCCUCCUUCAGCUCCAGCUCAGUUCUCUGCCCCCGGUUUUUGCAUUUUUAAUUCAGGACAGAAUGUGAUCUCUUGCAGCUCCUUGCUUUAUCCUGUUGCUAUUUAAAUUACAAAUCGGCCCCAUCUCCCUGUCACUCUUGGGUUAUUUUUAGCUUCUGGUAAAUAGCAGCAGGGAGAGUCAGAUCAGGUGCCCCUCCCUCAAGGAGCUUUGUACCCACAGUCCCAUGCCCACAGCAGGGGGCACCCUCCCCUGCCAGCGGGCACCCCCAGUUGGUUCCCCCAGCCCCCGCUGUGGUGGUGGAGGGGGAAGGGAGAGGACUAGUCCGGGACACGCACAUGUGACCAGCCCUUGCCCUUAGUCUUUGUUAAACUCUGCCAGCCCCAGGUCUCACCACCCUUCCAUGGCUCAGAGCCAACCUCCUUCCUAGAUAACCACCGCCCACCCCCUCCAACCCACAAGGAGGGCCAGCUACAGAGGGCAGAGGAUUUUCUGACUUCUGUCUCACCUCUGCUAUAAGUCAGGAGCUUUACAUCUCUUAUCUUCUUCCAUCUUCCCAGCUACCCUCUCGUGCAGGUAUUACUGUUCCCAUUUUCCAUGGGGGGAACGGGGUCAGAGGUGAAAGUGACUUACCUAGCCAGGAAGGAACAGAGCUGGAACUCGAACCCAGGUCUCUCUGACCCUGAAGACGUAAUGUACGUGCAUCGCACUGCCUCUCUCAGUGUAAUGCAUGUGCUACUUUGCCCAAUGCCCACCAUCGGCUGUCUUUCCCAUGUGCUUAUCCAAUCCCAUAUGCUGGAUCAGGGGUUGGCAAACUGUGGCCAAUGGGCCACA